AUUGCUAGGGCACAGUCUUCUGAGAAAAUACUUUUCUCAGUCGACGCGACAUUUAGAUGAAAUAAAUAAAAUAAUAACUAGUAUUUGGCAAAAGUCGUUUGUUGGUCUGGUGGUUCGGUGGUGUUAUGCAUGUAGUGCAUGUAGAGCAGGGCUCCGGCACCAGCGGGUUCGGGUACGGUCAAUACCGACGACCGACCCUCAACCGCUAUCGGGUAUGAAAUUUAACCGUACCCGCCACUCGCCUCGGGUACGGGUUACCCGCGGGUAUUUUUACCUGACCCGCUGAGCAUUUAGAAAACCGAAUUCAGCAGCAUACACACAGAAAAUAAAAAAGUAGGAGCAGAAAACAAAUCAGUAUGCAUCAUCAUAAAACUCUCACACAUUGUCGAACUAGCUAGCAUUAAUAAUCUUCCGUUCUGAACAACACAGAGCAAAGCCAGCAGCGGCGCCGUUUCAAACAGCACGAACUCCCCUGUGCUCCUCGUCUUCCAAUUUUCCUACUUCUCCAACAUACCUCAAUUAAUUAUUACAGGCGUAUCUUUUGAACUUUGGUGUCGUUUGCUUUUCUCAGUUUUUCCUAAUUGAGCACAACGUUGAUGCAAACCGUUCUUACCAUCAAGGCAUCAAUGUAACCACGCACCCAAAGAGCAUGCGGGUCCUCAUCACGCUGGACUGGCGGGUGGCACACCGAACCAUGGCUCACCCAUCGCGUCCUUAAGGAGCACGCCGAACAGCUUCACGUUCUUCUCCUCGCACUCGGGUCGGCCCUGGCGUCCGCAGUCGGCAGGUGUCGUGCCUGUUGGAGGAGGCAGGUGCGCGGUCGGCGGACUGGUGGAGGAGGCGGGGCGCGGCCGCGCGGGCAGGUGGAGGAGGCGGGGCGUGGCCGCGCGGGCUGGUGGAGGAGGAGGCGCGGGCCGGCGGACUGGCGGAGCGAGGCCGCUCGGGGAGGAAGCUAGGCGUCAGCGGAAGGCGGAGAGCUGGAGGAGAGGCGGCCAGGUGGGGGCGUGAGCGCGACGGCGCGGUGGAGGGCAGGCGCCCCGGCCUGGCGGCGGACACGGGAGGGGAUUCAGGCGGGGCGGGGAAUUUGGGGGUUAGGGUUAGGUCAGUGGGGCUGAGGGCAUCCGGGUUUAUAUACGAUGUGUAUUGGUUUGGGCCUUAGGGAAAGAAUAAUGGACGUAUGUACUGGGCUGGCUAGUCAAGUGCAGGUACAUGGGUGUACGGGUUCGGGUAGUACAAUACCAUAUCCGUAUCCGUCAUACCUGUCGGUACAGAAUUUUACCAUUUGCGUAUCCGCGGGUAUUUUUUCUCACC
rnacentral:lncRNA from 1 species